rnacentral:snoRNA from 1 species
GCUGCUGCUGGUGUUGCUGCUGCUGCUGCUGCUGUUGCUGCAGCAGCAGCAGCAGCAGCAGCAGCAAAAGGAAUGUCUGUGGGUGGGGCCUCCUAAUGUUUUAUAAA